rnacentral:rRNA from 1 species
UACGUAGGGGGCUAGCGUUGCUCGGAUUGACUGGGCGUAAAGGGCGCGUAGGCGGUUCGUUCAGUCAGACGUGAAAUUCCUGGGCUCAACCUGGGGGCUGCGUUUGAUACGUGCGGACUUGAGUGCGGAAGAGGGUCGUGGAAUUCCCAGUGUAGAGGUGAAAUUCGUAGAUAUUGGGAAGAACACCGGUGGCGAAGGCGGCGCCCUGGUCCGAUACUGACGCUGAGGCGCGAAAGCGUGGGGAGCAAACAGG